rnacentral:lncRNA from 1 species
ACAUUGUGCAUAAAACAAUUUGAUGGCACUUUGGUUGCUCGCACUAUUGCAAUCUCCGAUCUCCUUGACCUGCACUUUCCUAAGGAGUCCACAACAUAGAAAGCCCAUCUAGCACGCAUUUUUAUGCGAACAUCGGGUGCGAGCCGCUGUCGCAGCUGAGAAGUGUAAAGUUCGAAGCGCACCAUCAAGAAUUCAUUUCUUACAGGGAGCUCGGACGUGGUCACCUGCUGGAAUGAUUUAUGCACAAGUGCUGCAUUUUCUCUUAUUUGCUUGUGUUACCCAAUCCCACUGUGCAAAGCCAGUUGCACAAGGUACCACACUUAUAAAAAAAUGCCAAAUUGAACCAACUGUAGAAGGCUGCGAAAGCAUUUUAUUAAGCUGGAGCUAUAGCAGUGAAACCAAAACAUGCGAGAAAGGCUUUGUUUGCAUGAAUUGCGAUAACAGAUUCGACACACAAAAUGAAUGCACAUCAACCUGCAAAAACGCACCAGUAGAAAAACGAAAACGAAACAAAAGGAACUGCAGAUAUUGGCUUGCAUGGGGCGCAAAUUGUCAAGAGAAGUGGCUCGAAAUUAAGAAGUCCAAGACAGGAAAAGUUCGCAAACUACUAUAUUACACCGGCUGUGGACAAGAUAAGGACAAGUUAUUUGAAUACGACCUUAAUCGGAG